UGGGGAAUAUUGGACAAUGGGCGCAAGCCUGAUCCAGCAAUGCCGCGUGUGUGAAGAAGGCCUGCGGGUUGUAAAGCACUUUCAGUAGAGAAGAAAAGCUCAAGGUUAAUACCCCUGGGUCUUGACGUAACCUACAGAAGAAGCACCGGCUAACUCCGUGCCAGCAGCCGCGGUAAUACGGAGGGUGCGAGCGUUAAUCGGAAUUACUGGGCGUAAAGCGCGCGUAGGCGGUUUUGUAAGUCGGAUGUGAAAGCCCCGGGCUUAACCUGGGAAUUGCAUUCGAUACUGCAUAACUAGAGUACGGUAGAGGGAAGUGGAAUUCCGGGUGUAGCGGUGAAAUGCGUAGAUAUCCGGAGGAACACCAGUGGCGAAGGCGACUUCCUGGGCCAGUACUGACGCUGAGGUGCGAAAGCGUGGGGAGCAAACAGGAUUAGAUACCCCCGUAGUCC
rnacentral:rRNA from 1 species